GGUCUUCGAAUGGAAGGGGCUUACUGCAUUUUUUCUUACACAUGUGUUUUUCUUUUUUUGAAAACUUUGCUUUGGUAGGCCUUCUAUAUGGGGCCUGCCAGAGAUUAAACUCAACCAAAUUUUAUUUAAUGUCAACCGAUUAUUUAAUAGUCAAAACUUUCAACAACGGAUCUCUUGGUUCUCGCAUCGAUGAAGAACGCAGCGAAAUGCGAUAAGUAAUAUGAAUUGCAGAUAUUCGUGAAUCAUCGAAUCUUUGAACGCACAUUGCGCCCUUUGGUAUUCCAAAGGGCAUGCCUGUUUGAGCGUCAUUUCUCCCUCAAACCCUCGGGUUUGGUGUUGAGCGAUACGCUGGGUUUGCUUGAAAGAAAGGCGGAGUAUAAACUAAUGGAUAGGUUUUUUCCACUCAUUGGUACAAACUCCAAAACUUCUUCCAAAUUCGACCUCAAAUCAGGUAGGACUACCCGCUGAACUUAAGCAUAUCAAUAAGCGGAGGAA
rnacentral:rRNA from 1 species